GUCUCCCAGCCACUGGUGUGGUCCCUGGUCUGCAGGAAGCCACCUGCCCAAGGAGCUUGCUGUGUGGCCCAGGGCCUCUACCUCAACCGCCCAUCCCAGGGGCAAAUGAUUGGAGCCUCAAAAUCUUUCAAUUGAUAAAACCGAGCGGAAGCCCCAGCGGGCAGCAGAGCCUCCUCUCCCAGGCACGGUCGGCACCGACUGGAAGGUCCUCGGGUUGCCCUGCCCACAGGGCUCCCUCUGGCCUUAGCCGCAGCCAGCUGCACCUGGCAGAUCAGCAGUUUACUGCUCAGGGCUGAGGACUGGGGCCAGCUCCCACUUCAGCCUUUCACUACUGGACAAAAAUGAGAGCUGUUUCUCAUGCCAGGCUGAGGAUGGAGCUCUGACCUGUCCGGCACGGAGGAGGGUUUACUGAAGGCAGAGCAGGGGCUGUUCCUGGGGGAUGUAAACAGAUACUCCCUGAGCACUUCCUAUGCGCCAACUCACUCAGUCUUCACACCCACUGGGCACUUUGAACCUCUUCACAAAGCUGAGUCAGCUUUGAGGCCGAGAAGGGACGUGCCCAGCAGCGGCCCAGCCUGAGAACGCACGGCCAGGAUUCAAACUCAGAGUCUCCAGGACCACACUCUGCCCAGGUCAGAAGAAACCCGGAGGGCAAAAGCGUGGCUGUGAACACAACUUGGAAAGACAGCUCCUCUGCCAGCAGAGUCCACCCAACAGAAAACAGGCCCUGCUUUUCCAGCCCUCUCGAAGGAUCAGGACGUGAAGGGGUGUCUCUGCGCUGAGAGUGGGGAACCCCGUCCUGUGCAGGGAACGCUGCUGGAAGACUGGAUGCUCCUGACAGAACCUCUGCCCCAGGAAGCUCCCAGAGGGGAAUAAAGGAAACCCAAUCCAGUGGUCUGGAAUAAUAUAAUGGGCAAAAUAUCAGGAAAAGUGUAAAAAGCUACCCGCACAUCAACGUAAUCUUAGCACUAUCGUUGGACGUGUCGCUACUCAAGGUACCGUCUGUGGAGCACCUACCAGGUGCCGGGCUCUGCACCUGAAACCUGCCCCUUGAUGAUCCUGGGGUCCUCAAUACCCUGCACCACCAGAGGACACACUCUGAGGGGGCUGGAAAGCGGAUGGUCUGGCUCUGAAUGCGGGUCACCUGUCCCCCAUGUGGGCACUCCCUACGGUGACCCAGCAGCACCAGGACUGCUGUUCUGACCCGCUCAGGGCUGGAGGAGAGGAGAGGGCAGGGCAGUGGAGCCGAGCAACGUCUCGGUUCAGCGGGAGCAGCCCCCUCCAGGGAGCUCUGGCACAGAGGCCGCCGCGAACGGCGCUGCCGUACCUUUCCUGUCCGUCUCAGUAGCGUGGACCAGUAGGAUGUCACCAGAUCCUCCCCGGACGUCUGGUCCGUCGUCGCCCUGCAAAACCACAGCAAAGGAGGGCGUGAAGCAGAAUGCAGCCGUAAGAAAGUCCGUUUAGGGAGCCACAAGCAGGGACGAGAUGACAAAGACACGGUGUUGCAGAGACGCCAGGUCCUCUCUGCCCUGCCCUCCCUCACUCCGGGAGCAGCGUGGCCGGGCUGCAGAGGCCAGGUGCACCCAUCCAGCCCGCCCACCGCAUGGCACAGCGCUCUGAGGACACCACUGGCUCAGGGGGGCAUGGCUCCAGUCAGUCUUUCCCUGUUCACCAGCCCACGGCUCAGGGCGGAAGAGGGGACAGAGGGAGCCGACGGGGAGGCAGGCAGGACCGGCACCGGCCCUUCCCAGGAUGAUGGUGGAGGCGGCAGACCACUUCCAGCCUAGCCACGUGUGUGUGUAGAACACGGCCGCCUCCUCGGCGGGGGUCAAGGCUACCACCGGGAGCCAUUCCUGUGUGUCCCCAGAAUCACUCGGCAGCAGGGAGACGGGAGGCCCUCUCAGGUUAGCUCCUCUUGCUGUGCCGGGUUUGGGCACCGUGUUUACCCAUGAGGCUCUCCUGACAAGACAUGGGACGGAGGCAGCCUCGGCGGCCAGGCCUGAAAUUUCUUAAUUCGCUGUGCUUCCCGCGCUGACACUACACUGGGGUCAUUCUGUCAUUAACAACAUAAAAAUAUCUUACACUAGCGAGGGCUCACCACACACGGGCUCCGUGCUGAGCACCCUCGUGGAUUUCCUUCUCACAACACCCUCCAGAGUCCUGUCAUUUGGGGCUUAGAGAGGACAUGUCACUUGCCCAAGAUCACUCUCCAGAAGUGUCAGAGAAGGGGACAGCACACUUCCUCCUGGAAGUCACCCAUGUGUCCAGGGUCUUAGAGCACCCACGGUGGCCCAGGCAUGGGGCCAGGACGAACGGGAUGCCAGAGCCCGCCGCCCAGGAGGGCCACCUGGGGGGGGUCAGCACUCGGCUUGGGCCUUUCUGUUUGGGACACCGCCAGGUUCCCUUCUCAAAGCCCCCCACCCUCUUUCUGGGCCAGACCCUGCACAUGAAGGCCUGUGAGGAGCCCACCUCUUGCUUGAGCGUCAGCCUUGCCAUGAUCUCAUUGUGGUCAAUGAGGGACAGCUCGUCUACUUCCUCCUCCGACUGAGCCUCUGGAGCAUCUGGUGACUUCAGGGCCCUGGAGAGAGAAAUGGUUUGUGUUGUGUCAACAGACCCUGAGCUCCACGGCUCCCGGGGGCCAAGGCAGCGUGGCCCCGUGCGCGGGGUCUGUGUGGCAUAGCCGCUCCCCUGAACGAGUCCUCCCCGGACUGCGGCUCCAGCGAGAAGCCCAGACCCGCUUCCCACCCCUCCACAGGGGGCCCGGGGGGUGGACAAGAGGCCGGGAUGCAGACUGGGUUUCUAGCUCUGCUCCUGCUAAGCUGUGUGACCUGGGGACAGUCCCUGCUCUCUCCGGACACUCCAUCAGUAAGUGGAAGGGAUUAAGCACGCAGAGCAAGAAGGUUCCACUGAGCAAUUUGAAAAAGUAAUGGUCUCAGUCACCUGUGUCAAGGCCCACAGACUGCAUGGACUGUCAGUACUCAAGGAGAGAAUGGCAAAGGGCCAGCGGGACGGGGGAACCAGCCAGCAUGAUCUCAAUGCCAUCCCCAGGUCUUUCCUCUGGGCCACCUCUCUAGUGGACUGAAGAGGAGCAUGAAGCAGGCCCUUGUCCGCGGGUGCCGGUGGACAGUAGCAUGAGCAGGGGUCCAGCCUGAGCCAAGGGCAGGGAAGGCGUGAAGAUGGGACAGGCAAGCUGGGACUGAAGCGCUGAGUAGGAGUUUGGGUGAAGGGGGAGGAGGAGAGAACCUCCAACAGACGAAGCACUGGGGAGCCUGCAGAGAGGGGACAGCAGGCAGAUGGAUGUGGGGUCUGCGGGCGCCGCGCUUUCCCCCAGCAUUUUCUCCCAUAUUCCCAUCAUUCUCAUGAUCGACCCUGUGAGCCACUGACUGGCCUUGUGGUCGCAGGCUUCAUUUUUAACCCUAAGCAUCUGAGACAUUAAAACCUGGGCCUUCUGGGAAUUCCCUGGCAGUCCAGUGAUUAGACUCCGUGCUUUCACUGCUGAGGGCCUGGGUUCAAUCCCUGGUUGGCGAACUAAGCUCCCACAAGCCACACGGUACGGGCGAAAAAACCCAAAUCAAAACAAAACAAACAAACAAAACCCCCGGGCCUUCAGUAAGACAACAUGGAUGGGCCAGAGCAAAACCACGCGCAGUCCCGGGACGAAGCCUCAGCUGCACGUCAGCGUCCGGUUUGUGGCCAGGCCUUCGUGGAAAGAGGACAACAUCCCAGUGACCACCUCUAGCCAGUCAGCGUGCCCACCCUUCUGCUUCUGGUGCAGGGGCCGCCUGAACGCUGAAAGAUGGCACCCCUGGGUCCAGCGGAGCUAGAGCCCAUGAGCUGCUGUUGUCUGGCACAGACGCCUCUGCCACUGCGUGUUAGACUAGACAACCCAUCACCCCUUAACACUUGGGGAGACCUGAGCCUGGGCCACUGAAUCAGACUCCGUGUGGACGGUACUGAGGGGCAGCCAGAGUAGGCUGGGCAGGCAGCCCUUGUCAACAGGCCCCUAGAGAAUGCUUUCUAUUUUUUUCCCUGUCUCUUGCUAUUUUUACCACAUCUUUAACCAUUUAUGUUUAGGCCUGACAAUAGCAAGUGGGUAUGCUUAGCUCUGUACCCAGGACUCCAGAAGUAGCCGAACCUUAGCCUAAAGAGGGAGGAAAAGCUUGAAUUUGUGGAGCAUUUCACAAAGAAGGGGAAAUCAACAUGAAGUCGCAGGUGGCAGGGCUGAUUCACAGGUCCUGCACGUUAUCCUUUCUACGUGUGGACUGGAGAAAUUUACUACAUAUUUCCAAACCUGGGCAGGUUUGACUCAUGCUAAUGUUGAAAAUGUUACCAAAGAUUAAAAAGACGUAUGACUAAAUGCAGAGAUGACUCCUGAUUGACCCUGGUUCCAAAAAAUAAGCCUUAUAAGACAUAUUAGGGAGAGCUAGGGAAAUGGAAGAUCAUUUGCAUAUCAGAUAAUGUGAAGAAUUUAUUACUCUUCUUAGGUGUGAUAAUCACACUGUAAUCAGGUAGGCAUCUAAAAUUUUUUAG